AUGUUCAGUACCUCAUCCCUUUCCACAAGCAGCAACAACAUUAGUGCCAUUACAACUUCCACCAUUAGCAUGACAUCCAGCACCCCCGUUGUUAAUGCGUCCAACACUAGUUGUUCCUCUACCUCUGUGAUGACGUCUUAUCUCCAACAACUUCCCUUUUCAAAUUUGUAUCCACCCCUUUUCCAUCAACAAGUUUACCUGUUUCAUCUUCUCACUCAUAACCCGUGGAAACCGGAACAAAACCUGCAACCUGUUAA